UUGUAUUCAUCUCAUUGACUUAUACCAAAUACCAGUUUCUUAGUUAAAAUUAAUUGGUUUUAAAACUGUUAUUCAUCAAAAUAUAAAGUGUCCAUCGGGGUGUCAGAUUUUGCGUCACAAGGGGUAGAGGCUCGUCAUAAAAAAGAAUACAUUUUCUUAUAAAUCGAUCUCUAUCUGAUACUUUUUGAUUCAAACACAUCUACACAAAUAUGAACAUAAAUGUAACAGAAACUCAACCUAGAAAAACACAGGUUACAUCAAAUUCUUCAAAUUUUAUUCAAUUCCGGUUCGUUUAGAGAUAUGUAUAUAGUCAGAGUAGACCUUCAAAGUAGAUAUUAUAUGAUAGAUGUGUAACAGAAAACAGAUAGUUCUAGCUGGCCGAUUACGAACGAAAUAACUGUUUUGAAUCAUUUUUAACCGGAUUUUUGUGACAAAAAUGUCGGUUAUUGAUUUGGGGAUGUACGGCGGGCGGGGCGGUGGGCGGGCGGGCGGCAAUCAAAUGUUGUCCGUGCAUUAACUCAUGAACCGUUCAACCAAAGCUUUUAAAAUUUUAAUAUGUUAUUCCUGACAACUAUACGAAGGUCAAGUUCAAUAAUGGCGAUUUUGACUUUUACCGUUCAGGAGUUAUGGUUCUUGAAAGAUUGAAAAAUGGAGUUGUCCGUGCAUUUACGCAUGAACUGUUCUACCAAAGCUUCCCAAAUUUUAAUAUGUUGUUACUAAUGAAAGAAUGGAGG
rnacentral:lncRNA from 1 species